CGGUUGAUUAUAAAUAGAAGCUUGGUGCCAUGAACAAGAACAAAGUACUCGAUCCAGCUAUCCGGGAAGUCUGGCCGAACACAGCAGAAGCUUGAGCAUCGGGAUGAAGCUUGAGAGUGGAAAGACCCCGAGUCUGAGAAGAGGGAGGGCGUGCCAGCAGGAGACAUCUGCAGCCAGGAGCGACGGGUGUUCUCAUGUACUCUCGACUUAGCUCUGGACUGAAGAUGAAGUCGUGUGGAAGGCUGAAACUCUCAACAUGUAAAGUCCUCUUGGCUUGCCAGAUAACAACUGUUAGAGCUUCCUUAAGAAAAUAGGAGAGCGAAUCCAAACUAUGGUGCCAAGCUUUUCCAUACCAAAAUUGACACCAGCCCAUGAUUCUGCUUCAUGUAAACUAACCACUUGCCAUAUUUCCCAUUAGAGGCAAAACCCUAUGCCUGA
rnacentral:lncRNA from 1 species